AUGCAAACUUCAUGUGAAUGCUCUGUGCUGUGUCUUCAGGGCUGUUACAGGGCCAUGGUUUGGUCCUUGUCUAUCCUUACAGGCCUACACUUUUUUGCAAGAAAGUCACAGUGCCACGUGUGCUUGCUGAUUCAAUCUGGGAGGAGGACAGAGAGCAGACACAGUGGUGCCACUCCUUUUGCUGAACACCAGACAGGACCAUCAGACUGUAAGAGACCUGUCUUAAGAAAGAUGGAGGUGGCCCCCAUCUUCCUUCCACGUGCUGCUCUGCCAAGGUUUUCUCAUUCUGAUCAACAUCUCCAAGCUUGGGCUCAGUCUGCCAAUAUCUCCUGCCUCAUGAGUGAUAGCACUGCAGAGUGGAAUGGAUCACAUUCAAAAAGCUGGUCUGUACAAGCGUUUUAAGCUCAAGAAGCCUUAUUCUCCGUUGGACCCAAAAGUAAUGAAAGAACGAUGGAUUCAUUGCAACUCCACAGGGUCAGUGCAACGUACCAGCACAUAAUGAGUUACAGUGUUUCGGCAGUCCUACAGAAUAUCACGUAUGGGCAUUUGGCAGCCUGCUACCCCAUAUGCUACUCCACACCAUCAUAUCUAAUGUGAGGGCAUCAGCAGGGAGGGAAGGGACAGCUUUUGUACUUGCUUUAACACAUUUGUGGUGAAAUGUCAAGAAAACAUGAAAGUUUUCCUGAUGUCCCCCUAUGUAUUACAAGCUCCACCGAAUAUACCAUGGACUUACACAAGAAGUGAGCUGAAAAUAUAGCUCAGUUGAAGCCCAAGGAACUUUUUUAUUUCAAAUAAAGAAAAUACUAUGUUUGUUAUGUGUAUGCA
rnacentral:lncRNA from 1 species